rnacentral:rRNA from 1 species
ACACAUGCAAGUCAAUGAGAAAGAGGCUCUUCGGAAUCUCGAGUAAACUGGCGCAAGGGUGAGUAACACGUAUGUAACCUGCCCUGGAGUGGGGGAUAACAUUGGGAAACUGGUGCUAAUACCGCAUGACGUCCCGAUAACGCAUGUUGUCUGGGAUUAAAGAUUUAUCGCUUCAGGAUGGACCUGCGUUCUAUUAGCUUGUUGGUAAGUGUAAUGGCUUACCAAGGCGACGAUGGAUAGCUGUGUCUGAGAGGGUGAUCAGCCACACUGGCACUGAGACACGGGCCAGACUCCUACGGGAGGCAGCAGUGAGGAAUAUUGGGCAAUGGGCGAAAGCCUGACCCAGCAACGCCGCGUGAGUGAUGACGCAUUGAGGUGUGUAAAGCUCUGUUAGGAGGGAAGAAUUCCCAUUUUGUGGGGUUGACGGUACCUCCAAAGAAAGCUCCGGCUAACUCCGUGCCAGCAGGCGCGGUAACACGGGGGGAGCUAGCGUUGUCCGGAUUUACUGGGCGUAAAGAGCGUGUAGGCGGGAUAGUCAGUCAGGGGUGAAAUAUCUCGGCUUAACCGAGAACCUGCUCUUGAUACUGCUAUUCUUGAGUACGGAAGAGGGAGAGUGGAAUUCUGGGUGUAGCGGUGGAAUGCGAAGAUAUCCAGGAGAAGGCCGGUGGCGAAAGCGACUCUCUGGCUUGAUACUGACGCUGAGGUGCGAAAGCGUAGGUAGCGAACGGGAUUAGAUACCCCGGUAGUCUACGCUGUAAAUGAUGGGCACUGGAUGGUGGAGGCGCUGAUAGCUUUCUCCGUCGAAGCAAAUGCGUUAAGUGCCCCGCCUGGGGAGUACGGUCGCAAGAUUAAAACUCAAAGGAAUUGACGGGGGCCCACACAAGCGGUGGAGGAUGCGGCUUAAUUCGAGGACACGCGUAAAACCUUACCGAGGUUUGACAUGUAGGGAUUAAUCCGGUGAAAGCCGGAGGAUUGCCUUACGGUGUAACCUACACAGGUGCUGCAUGGCUGUCGACAGUUCGUGUCGUGAGAUGUUAGGUUAAGUCCUGAAACGAGCGAAACCCCUGUGCUUAAUUGCCAGCGCGUUAUGGCGGGGACAUUAGGCAGACUGCCUCGGCUAACGGGGAGGAAGGUGGGGACGACGUCAAGUCAGCAUGGCCCUUAUACCUCGGGCUGCACGCGUCCUACAAUGGGCAGUACAAACAGGACCGAUCCCGCGAGGGGGAGGAAAUCUCUAAAGCUGCUCUCAGUUCGGAUUGCAGGCUGAAACCCGCCUGCAUGAAGGUGGAAUCGCUAGUAAUCGCCGGUCAGCUAUACGGCGGUGAUCCGUCCCUGGGCCUUGUACACACCGCCCGUCAAGCCACCCGAGUUGGGCGCACUCGAAGUCCGAGACUCAACC